rnacentral:misc_RNA from 1 species
ACACACGACUAUGAUGUCAAAAUGCGCAAUGUGAUCAAGUUCCUUGAAAACGGCGAUAAGGUCAAAGUGACCCUGCGGUUCCGUGGUCGUGAAAUGGCGCACCAAAAUCUGGGGCGUGAGCUUCUGGAACGCGUUGCAGAAGACAUUAAGGAACUGGGCAAAGUUGAGAAUAUGCCCAAGAUGGAAGGCCGCCAGAUGAUAAUGAUGAUUGGCCCGCUUACGAAAUAAAGUACACUUAGUUUUACGUACUUUCAGGAGCCCUUGCAUGACGGCAUGCAGGGGCUUUUUCAUUUCGGCACGAAUAAUUUACCAAUGCCUUGAAGGA